AAACACAAAUAACACAAGCCAUUGCAUUCCUCCAGCUUUGACAUUUUGGAUCAUUCUUUUCAAAUUAGAGAUUGUUCUUCUUCCUCCAAUCAAGCAAAACAGAAUGGGUUUCCGUUUACCUGCUGUUCGACGGGCAUCAUUCACGGCUAGCCAAGCAGCUUCAAAAUCUGUACAAGUUCCAAAGGGCUAUCUUGCAGUGUAUGUUGGAGAGAAACAAUAGCGGUUCGUGGUUCCCGUAUCAUACUUGAAUCAACCUUCAUUCGAAGAUCUUUUGUGUCAAGCUGAGGAAGAGUUUGGAUAUGAUCAUCCCUUGGGUGGCCUCACAAUUCCUUGCAGUGAAGAUGUUUUCCAACAUAUAACUUCUCACUUGAAUUGAGACCACAAAUCUCACUGUGGGAGACCCACAUAGAUUAGUGGACAUUUUAUACAAUAGGCAUCUUCUCAACUUAAUUGUAAAGAUUGCCAAUUUUUGAGUAAUGACAACAAAUCCAAUUGCUAUGCAUUUCUAUUU
rnacentral:lncRNA from 1 species